UAGGGAAUCUUCGGCAAUGGGGGGAACCCUGACCGAGCAACGCCGCGUGAGUGAAGAAGGUUUUCGGAGCGUAAAGCUCUGUUGUUAAGGAAGAACGAGUGUGAGAAUGGAAAGUUCAUGCUGUGACGGUACUUAACCAGAAAGGGACGGCUAACUACGUGCCAGCAGCCGCGGUAAUACGUAGGUCCCGAGCGUUGUCCGGAUUUAUUGGGCGUAAAGCGAGCGCAGGCGGUUAGAAAAGUCUGAAGUGAAAGGCAGUGGCUCAACCAUUGUAGGCUUUGGAAACUGUUUAACUUGAGUGCAGAAGGGGAGAGUGGAAUUCCAUGUGUAGCGGUGAAAUGCGUAGAUAUAUGGAGGAACACCGGUGGCGAAAGCGGCUCUCUGGUCUGUAACUGACGCUGAGGCUCGAAAGCGUGGGGAGCGAACAGG
rnacentral:rRNA from 2 species